UAUAAUAAACCAAAGAGCAACAGCGUAACAAAAAUAUGUAAAGUGACAUGAAACCACACCAACAAAGGCAGGCGACGAUGAGAAUAAAUGCAAGCAAAAACGACAGGAAUAUUAUAAAAUUACACAAGUAAUAUAGCCGUCGCUGAGUAUAAACACGCGCGAAUAUACAGACAUACGAGGUGUAUGUUUGCAACGAAUUUAACACGAGCACCACCAACCGGAUGAAAUAUUCACACGAACAAGCUUUGUUACCAACCAUUGCCAUCGUCAUAGCCGACGUCCUCGUUUGCGUCCUUGCCACUACUAUUGCGCAUUGCUCUCCUCCCACCAAAUGCUUUCAAAGUCUAGCAGAAUUCCUAAGGCGCAGUCGGCAAAAUGCGUGCCACCGAAUGCAUCAUUAAAGGCAGAGUUGCCAAAUGACAAGAAAUAUAGUGAUUUGAGUCAAAACGAAAAGGUUGGCCUAUGCGCACACGAAAUUUAAAAGCAAUGUCAUACGUGAAGAGUUUCUUUUUUUUUUCAAAUUGAGAAAUUGAGGCAGAGGCGGCCGCCCCUCUUGCAGAAAGCGUGAAACACAGUCGAGCGUGAGGCGAAGCCACUCGAGUGAAACUGGAACGAAAUCAAAGCGAUUACCAGAAACAGAGCCAGAUGGCGCGCAGGAUGAAGAAGAAGAGUUCAGAAGCCAUCGGUGGCUACACAAUAUAUGAAGGAGUCAAAAGGAUUGAUGACUAAGUUGAUAUGGCAAAAACAGACACACACACACGCAAAGGCUUAUGGCAACUCUGGUUAUUAACAAAAACGGAAAGCAAUGAGCUUGUCAUUGUCGGGUCGUCGUCGGCAUCGCUUAGUCGAUGCCACACUUGUCAGUCCAUUUGCCAGUAUGCCCGCCCAUUCGACGAUAAGUUCGUACCAUCAACGAUUCCGUCUGUCAUGAGAAGUAUCAGUUUGCUUACGAUUUAACCAAAUUCGCACAAUUCAACUGCGCUGUUCGUUUUUCAUGACGCUCCUUUUUGCGGGCACCGACGCGUGCAAUAAUUUACAUAUAAACGAGUACAAGUAGAAAGAAAUGACGGCAGGACUGAGGCUGAAAUGACGGUGGGAAGCGAACAAAGCUAUCCGAAGGACACUCAAUGAAGUUAAGUAAAGAGAGGCGAGAUGGAAGGUUGAACAUGUCUCACUUGGGAAUUCGGCUGAUAUAACUUUAAGAAUACAGCAAAUUGGGCUGAGGUUUGUGGGGAAAUUUUAAAGUUGAGUUGGUUUUCUUGAGCUCAUUUAAGACAAAACAUUGCUUUAGGCGCUUAAUGCAAUAAUUAUUUUAUCAUCUAAGUUACGAAUUUCACCGCCGGUAACUUUCAACGCAAACUUUAGCUAAAAGAUUAGCUCAUUAUAAAUACUCACAUUCGUGACUAAUUUCGAGAACAAGACGGCAGCCGAUGACGACAAAAUUAAAUCAUUUUCUUGCACACAUUUUGGGUUAGUCAACGUGUCCUUAACUUUAACCACAGUCUCACCCGUGAAACCGGAAGAGGCAAAUGCCAAACAAGGAAGCGGCGGAAACAGAGAAAGGUGUCCUAACUUACUUAGUGUCAUCGAAGGGAUGCCAAGCCAACAUUAUCGUAUUCACCACCCAACAAUGCGUGCAAUGCGGACAGCCACUACAGAAGUGCAAAACAGGGCACAAAAAGCAAAGGCAAAACAGAGUAAUAGGUUAAAAGCAGUAGAAGUAAAAUAAACUAAGAAAUCUCAUUUAAAGCGCAUAAAAAUGGAAUAAAUGCUCGUGUAAACGAAAGGAGAAAAAAAUGGAGAGCAAAAAAAAAACGAAAAUAAAGCCAAGGAGCAAUAGUAUACCAGUCAUACGUAUGCACAUUAGGAUGCCGCGCCAAAAAAGGUGUUCUUCUACUGGAAUUAUAAAAUGUAUUAUUUUAAAGACGAGCGCCGAAAUAUUUCGGAAAAAACUAAGAUUUAUGUGAGCUAAAUAAACUUUGGAGCUUUAACUCUUUAAUCAA
rnacentral:lncRNA from 1 species